rnacentral:rRNA from 1 species
UUCGUACAGUACCUUCAGCCCCUUUCACAAAGGGGGUUUAUUCCUGUAUAAAAGCAGUUUACAACCCAUAAGGCUGUCUUCCUGCACGCGGCAUGGCUGGUUCAGACUUGCGUCCAUUGACCAAUAUUCCUUA